rnacentral:rRNA from 1 species
GACGAACGCUGGCGGCGUGCUUAACACAUGCAAGUCGAGCGGUAAGGCCCUUUCGGGGGUACACGAGCGGCGAACGGGUGAGUAACACGUGGGUGACCUGCCCUCAGCUCUGGGAUAAGCCUGGGAAACCGGGUCUAAUACUGGAUAUGACUCCAUGACGCAUGUUGUGGGGUGGAAAGCCUUGUGCGGCUGAGGGUGGGCCCGCGGCCUAUCAGCUUGUUGGUGGGGUGANGGCCUACCAAGGCGACGACGGGUAGCCGGCCUGAGAGGGCGACCGGCCACACUGGGACUGAGACACGGCCCAGACUCCUACGGGA